UGUUUCGGCAAGGGGGUCAUCCCGACUUACCAACCCGAUGCAAACUGCGAAUACCGGAGAAUGUUAUCACGGGAGACACACGGCGGGUGCUAACGUCCGUCGUGAAGAGGGAAACAACCCAGACCGCCAGCUAAGGUCCCAAAGUCAUGGUUAAGUGGGAAACGAUGUGGGAAGGCCCAGACAGCCAGGAUGUUGGCUUAGAAGCAGCCAUCAUUUAAAGAAAGCGUAAUAGCUCACUGGUCGAGUCGGCCUGCGCGGAAGAUGUAACGGGGCUAAACCAUGCACCGAAGCUGCGGCAGCGACGCUUAUGCGUUGUUGGGUAGGGGAGCGUUCUGUAAGCCUGUGAAGGUGUGCUGUGAGGCAUGCUGGAGGUAUCAGAAGUGCGAAUGCUGACAUAAGUAACGAUAAAGCGGGUGAAAAGCCCGCUCGCCGGAAGACCAAGGGUUCCUGUCCAACGUUAAUCGGGGCAGGGUGAGUCGACCCCUAAGGCGAGGCCGAAAGGCGUAGUCGAUGGGAAACAGGUUAAUAUUCCUGUACUUGGUGUUACUGCGAAGGGGGGACGGAGAAGGCUAUGUUGGCCGGGCGACGGUUGUCCCGGUUUAAGCGUGUAGGCUGGUUUUCCAGGCAAAUCCGGAAAAUCAAGGCUGAGGCGUGAUGACGAGGCACUACGGUGCUGAAGCAACAAAUGCCCUGCUUCCAGGAAAAGCCUCUAAGCAUCAGGUAACAUCAAAUCGUACCCCAAACCGACACAGGUGGUCAGGUAGAGAAUACCAAGGCGCUUGAGAGAACUCGGGUGAAGGAACUAGGCAAAAUGGUGCCGUAACUUCGGGAGAAGGCACGCUGAUAUGUAGGUGAAGUCCCUCGCGG
rnacentral:rRNA from 1 species